rnacentral:tRNA from 1 species
CGAGGUAGCUCAAUUGGCAGAGCAACGGUUUUGUAAACCGUAGGUUGUGGGUUCGAUUCCCAUCCUCGG